GAAAUGCGAUAAGUAAUGUGAAUUGCAGAAUUCAGUGAAUCAUCGAAUCUUUGAACGCACCUUGCGCUCCUUGGUGUUCCUUGGAGCAUGCCUGUUUGAGUAUCAUGAAAUCUUCAAAGUAAAUCUUUUGUUAACUCAAUUGGUUUCUACUUUGGUAUUGGAGGUCUUUGCAGCUUCACACCUGCUCCUCUUUGUUCAUUAGCUGGAUCUCAGUGUUAUGCUUGGUUCCACUCGGCGUGAUAAGUUAUCUAUCGCUGAGGACACUGUAAAAGGUGGCCAAGGUAAAUGCAGAUGAACCGCUUCUAAUAGUCCAUUGACUUGGACAAUACUUUUAUGAUCUGAUCUCAAAUCAGGUAGGACUACCCGCUGAACUUAAGC
rnacentral:misc_RNA from 1 species